GAUGAACGCUGGCGGCGUGCCUAAUACAUGCAAGUCGAGCGAACAGACGAGGAGCUUGCUCCUCUGACGUUAGCGGCGGACGGGUGAGUAACACGUGGAUAACCUACCUGUAAGACUGGGAUAACUUCGGGAAACCGGAGCUAAUACCGGAUAAUAUAUUGAACCGCAUGGUUCAAUAGCGAAAGACGGUUUUGCUGUCACUUAUAGAUGGAUCCGCGCCGCAUUAGCUAGUUGGUAAGGUAACGGCUUACCAAGGCAACGAUGCGUAGCCGACCUGAGAGGGUGAUCGGCCACACUGGAACUGAGACACGGUCCAGACUCCUACGGGAGGCAGCAGUAGGGAAUCUUCCGCAAUGGGCGAAAGCCUGACGGAGCAACGCCGCGUGAGUGAUGAAGGUCUUCGGAUCGUAAAACUCUGUUAUUAGGGAAGAACAAAUGUGUAAGUAACUAUGCACGUCUUGACGGUACCUAAUCAGAAAGCCACGGCUAACUACGUG
rnacentral:rRNA from 1 species